UACGAAGGGGGCAAGCGUUGUUCGGAAUUACUGGGCGUAAAGGGCGCGCAGGCGGCCGAUCAAGUCAGAUGUGAAAGCCCCGGGCUCAACCUGGGAAUAGCAUUUGGGACUGGUCGGCUAGAGUUCGGGAGAGGAGAGUGGAAUUCCCAGUGUAGAGGUGAAAUUCGUAGAUAUUGGGAAGAACACCGGUGGCGAAGGCGGCUCUCUGGACCGACACUGACGCUGAGGAGCGAAAGCGUGGGGAGCAAACAGG
rnacentral:rRNA from 1 species